AGUUCUCCGACCCUGAACACCAACCGAGACUGGGUCCGACCGGAAAUCGCUCCUCCAGCCACCACUCCGCGGCGGACCACCGUCAAAAGCUUCGCCUUGGUGUCGCCUACAUCCCUAUGGUCUCAGAUUAUACAUGCAGCGACUGUGAACGGAGAGUCGAAGACCCGAAGCCCCGAACUGUCUCGGCGAGUUCUACAAUUCCCGGCAUCUCCGGCCACCAUCUGAGCUACUUGUGCCGUGUUCUUCGAGUUCGGCAACUUCUCCAGCGCUGCUAGCUUAAGUGGCAUGUGAUAGAUGGUCCAUUAUUCGUACCUUACGUGCUGGUGUACCUAAUCUGCGAGUUCGAUCAAGAUUUUGGAGAAGCUGUGUUUGGGUGCAAUCAGCCUCCACCGAGAAUUUGAGAAUUGGGUGGAUCGGCUCGGACUUGUUGUUUCUCCGUAAGAGUACAGAUUCUAAUUUAAUUUGACCACAGGGUGAGUUGAGAUUGUUGAAGAAACUCUGGAAAUUGCCUUGUAAUUGAUUUCUGGUGUUUUGUCGAAUUGUUGGAGUCUUCAGUUUUGAAUUGGUUAUGAGGAUUUGAGAAAUAGUUAAGUAAGGACCUUGGGUGUCCUUAGUAUUUUGAGUAAUCCAUAUUUGAGAUUAAAAUUGGGUGGGUGUCCUUAGAAUUUUUGGGCACACCUAUUUUGAGUCGAAAUUAAUCAAUUAUGUUGGAAAAGUAUGGGUGUCCAUAGUAAUUCAAUCGGAAUUGCUAUACGAUGAGACUUGAAAUAGAAAUAAGGUUGAGUGUCGAACGAUUUGAAAUUGGAAACAUGUUCUAUGCUUGUGCAUAUGUUAAAUGGAUAGAAAGUGAAAUAAAUUAAUAUAUGGUUGAUCGGUACUGUAAUUUCAAGUGAAUGUUCGAUGAUUUAAGUUAAUUAUCGAACCAAUAACGAUUGGUCAAACAAUGGUCAAAGUUUGUCAAUCCUGGUCAAACCAGGAAAGGUCGGUCAAACCUUGGUCAACUCCUGUCAAUUCAGGAAAAGUUGGUUUGGACGAU